rnacentral:lncRNA from 10 species
GCCUAGAGAAACCCUGGGCCUCCACCCUGUUGCAGACUGAGGCACUGCCUUGGGGCUCGGAUGCAGAGCCAGUAAGACUUAAUGAAAAGCAGGCUGGAUCUGGUCUCUAAAAAAUGGCCGUGGAUUUUUGGAAAAUGUAUGAAAGGAAGGAAGUGAAGACUGUAGAGGAAGUGUUUCCUGUUAAUGAUGUGGAGAACAAAGUGCUUGGUGAAUCCCUGGUGUGCAGCUCACACUGAGCAGUUCUGGUCUGUGAAAUGCCACACUCGUGGCAAACCUAGAGCAAGAAUCUGAGAAAGCAGUUAAGUGGCAAGUGAGCUUUGUUUUGGGUAAGUAUAAUAGUUCAUUUGGGGAAAAUAAAUUCUGUGCUAUGACAGGGAUGGUGAAUUCUGGGUGCUUGUUCAUGAAACAGAAAAAGGAUGGGCUCGUGGAUGGAUUAAACCUGAGAACCUGCAACGCCACCCUGAUUUAUCCAAAAGGGCUGUAGAGAACUGCUUGUUUCUUUGAAGAUUCAGUCGAUGAUACAAAAUUAUACAAUAUUCUGGAGUUGUGGUUGCAGCUAAAGAUACAUACAGUAUAGCCUGAAAAGGUCCAAAGAAAAGGAGGUAAAACACUCUAUCUUUGAGCAGCCUCUCAGCUUCAGCACUGCUGACAUUUGGAACCAGAUAUUUUUGGUUGUGUAGGGCUGUCCUGUGCGUUGUAGGAUGCUUAGCAACACCCCUGGUCUCCACCCACGAGACGCCAGGAGCACCCUCUUCCGACAAGUAGUGACAACCAAAAAUGUCUGCAGGCAUUACCAGAUGUCUCCUAGGGAGCAGAAUUGCCCCCAGGGGAAAACCACUGACCUAGAGGAUAAGUUGACCUGAAAAAGAUAAGAAGGGAAUGUUGUUGCAAUCUUCAAAACCUGUAAAGUGGGGUGGGUUACACACAUUUAUCCAUGGACAAUUGUCUCUUGAAGCUUGAUGUCAAUUUCUUACUGAAUCGAAAUCUUUCGUAAUGAAUACAUAUCUUAAGAAUUUGUAAGUCAUAACCGUUGAAAAUACAAAUGUGGUCCAGAAGUGUUUUGAGGGACUCCUGGAAAGUGACUCACUCAACUGCUUUGUGGAAGGAUAGCCUUGUCUUUCCACCACACAUUCCCAGUGCAGCCGAGAGAGGGAGUUUUGGCUUCGCUAAGAGCAGAGUGCUGUUUCUUCUGUUUUUUGUUUUUCAUCAUUUAUGGACAAAAUUCUGUAAAGUAUACCUGGUUUUAGGUGGAUAAAAAUAAAACAAGUUGAAGGUUCCA